rnacentral:rRNA from 1 species
UGAACGCUGGCGGCGUGCCUAACACAUGCAAGUCGAACGGAGCUGCUUUGAUGAAGUUUUCGGAUGGAUUUAAAACAGCUUAGUGGCGGACGGGUGAGUAACGCGUGGGUAACCUGCCUCACACUGGGGGAUAACAGUUAGAAAUAGCUGCUAAUACCGCAUAAGCGCACAGUUCCACAUGGAACAGUGUGAAAAACUCCGGUGGUGUGAGAUGGACCCGCGUCUGAUUAGCCAGUUGGCGGGUAACGGCCCACCAAAGCGACGAUCAGUAGCCGGCCUGAGAGGGUGAACGGCCACAUUGGGACUGAGACACGGCCCAAACUCCUACGGGAGGCAGCAGUGGGGAAUAUUGCACAAUGGAGGAAACUCUGAUGCAGCGACGCCGCGUGAGUGAAGAAGUAGUUCGCUAUGUAAAGCUCUAUCAGCAGGGAAGAUAGUGACGGUACCUGACUAAGAAGCUCCGGCUAAAUACGUG